rnacentral:sRNA from 1 species
GCUGGGUGUGGUGGUGUGCACCUGUAGUCCCAGCUACUUGGGAGGCUGAGGAGGGAGGAUCACUUGAGCCCAGGAGGUCGAGGGUGCAGUGAGCAGUGAUAGCACCACUGCAUUCCAGCCUGGGUGACAGAAUGAGACCCUGUCUCAA